rnacentral:rRNA from 1 species
GGGUGCGAUCAUACUAGCACUAAUGCAUCGAAUCCCAUCAAAACUCCAAAGUUAAUGUGCUUGGGCGAGAAUAGUACUAAGAUGGGUGACCUCUUAGGAAGUUCUCAUGUUGCACCCC